GAUGAACGCUGGCGGCGUGCCUAAUACAUGCAAGUCGAGCGAACGGACGAGAAGCUUGCUUCUCUGAUGUUAGCGGCGGACGGGUGAGUAACACGUGGAUAACCUACCUAUAAGACUGGGAUAACUUCGGGAAACCGGAGCUAAUACCGGAUAAUAUUUUGAACCGCAUGGUUCAAAAGUGGAAGACGGUCUUGCUGUCACUUAUAGAUGGAUCCGCGCUGCAUUAGCUAGUUGGUAAGGUAACGGCUUACCAAGGCAACGAUGCAUAGCCGACCUGAGAGGGUGAUCGGCCACACUGGAACUGAGACACGGUCCAGACUCCUACGGGAGGCAGCAGUAGGAAAUCUUCCGCAAUGGGCGAAAGCCUGACGGAGCAACGCCGCGUGAGUGAUGAAGGUCUUCGGAUCGUAAAACUCUGUUAUUAGGGAAGAACAUAUGUGUAAGUAACUGUGCACAUCUUGACGGUACCUAAUCAGAAAGCCACGGCUAACUACGUG
rnacentral:rRNA from 1 species